AGUGAACGCUGGCGGUAGGCCUAACACAUGCAAGUCGAACGGCAGCACAGUAAGAGCUUGCUCUUACGGGUGGCGAGUGGCGGACGGGUGAGGAAUACAUCGGAAUCUACUUUUUCGUGGGGAUAACGUAGGGAAACUUACGAUAAUACCGCAUACGACCUACGGGUGAAAGCCGGGGAUCUUCGGACCUUGCGCGAUUGAAUGAGCCGAUGUCGGAUUAGCUAGUUGGCGGGGUAAAGGUCCACCAAGACGACGAUCCGUAGCUGGUCUGAGAGGAUGAUCAGCCACACUGGAACUUAAACACGGUCCAGGCUCCUACGGGAAGCAGCAGUGGGGAAUAUUGGACCAUGGGCGCAAGCCUGAUCCAGCCAUAGCGCGUGGGUUAAGAAGGCCUUCGGGUUGUAAAGCCCUUUUGUUGGGAAAGAAAAGCAGCAGGUUAAUACCCCGCUGUUCUGACGGUACCCAAAGAAUAAGCACCGGCUAACUUCGUG
rnacentral:rRNA from 1 species